rnacentral:rRNA from 1 species
UACAGGGGGGGCAAGCGUUGUUCGGAAUUACUGGGCGUAAAGGGUUCGUAGGUGGCUUACUAAGUCAGACGUGAAAUCCCUCAGCUUAACUGGGGAACUGCGUCUGAUACUGGAUGGCUUGAGUUCGGGAGAGGGAUGCGGAAUUCCAGGUGUAGCGGUGAAAUGCGUAGAUAUCUGGAGGAACACCGGUGGCGAAGGCGGCAUCCUGGACCGACACUGACGCUGAGGAGCGAAAGCCAGGGGAGCAAGCGGG